UACGGAGAGUGCAAGCAUUAAUCGGAAUUAUUGGGCGUAAAGGGCGCGUAGGCGGGAUGAUAAGUUGUAUGUGAAAUUCCGGAGCUCAACUUCGGAGCUGCAUACAAAACUGCCAUUCUGGAGGGUUGACGGAGAAAACGGAAUUCCACGUGUAGCGGUGAAAUGCGUAGAUAUGUGGAAGAACACCGGUGGCGAAAGCGGUUUUCUAGUUAAUACCUGACGCUGAGGCGCGAGAGCAAGGGGAGCAAACAGG
rnacentral:rRNA from 1 species